AGGUGUUUAAGUUGCCAGUACAGAUGUGUUCAAGUUAUUCCACGUGCAAUGAUUGCAUACAGGCAAGUUAUUGUGAAUGGUGUUUCAGAUGUGUCUUCAAAGGAGACUGCUUUAGAAGAACUGGCCGUAGUGGCGAAAAAGUAUGUAGUAUUAAACUAAAAGUACGUCCAGCCGAAGUGUCGACGAGAGAAAUUCAAAAGCGCUAGAAGUUGUCUUCGAAAUGCUCCGGACUCAAGGUCUGGCAAAUCCAAAAAUCCGAUCGGCUCAUAACACACAGCCAAUGGUAACUUGUGAGACAAGGAAACAAUACAUGACACCGACGAGAGCUUGUGCAGAAAUAUAUUGGUGUGAAAUGCAGAUAGUGAUAUAUCAAUCAUGAAUAAGAGCAGUCGGAGGAGAGCAGUGCUGGGCUAUUCAGCGAUUCGAAAAAGGCGUCAUUAUUUUGUAAAACAGUGUUAUGUAACAUGUAAAGUUUAUGCCAAUGCAUCAUAACAGACAAGUGUGUGAAGUAUCGAUCUAUUUCUAUUAAUCAGUACUGUGAUACCAGCUUAUAUACACAAACAUAAACCAAACAUUGCGAAGUCGGAAAAGGGACAUAAUUUUGUAAAGAAGAUCAAAAAGUAUGAAAGAAAGCCGUACUAGUCUGGGACAACCUCUUUAACGAUGAGCUAUAUAUAUAAACAUGAUCCCCACAAGAACCGAUGUAAGUGAAUAAUGUUCAGAAAAUGAAUGACUAAAGCGUUUUAUUCCAGAACAUCGGAAGACUAUCAACCUUUUUUUCUGACGAUGAAGAUUUUUUAGAUGUUGUUUACGAUUAUGACAUAGUUUUUCUCAGUGAAUUUAGGAACGUAGCAAGGACAAUAUCUGCAUGGAUUGAUAUGAAUUCUUUUGAAUAACUAGAAUAUAAACGUUAACAGGUGGAAAUAGGAUGGGUUGUGUUUGAAUGUCUCUGUUUCAUAGACAUUUUCUAAAUAAAAUAUUGAAAUGAACGAUGAUGGUGUCUUCUGGGUAAGACUGUGCGAUCUAUUUUCAUUAUGAAUUUGAUGUAUUUCUUUGUUUAAAUCAUAUUCUUCCUAGUAAUUAUAUUUAUUUUAGUGUGCGUGAAAGUGGGUUUUAUAAAACACUUGAAAUUGGUUUCCGAACAAACUCAGUAAGUUAAAAUAUUUGUAACUGGUGACCUGAGUGCAAAAUGCGGUAAUAAAUCCGAUAUUUUAGAAGAAGUAGUCCAUUUCGACCGUAAUAUUUUUUCAAAUGAAAAUAGCGCUUUGAGAUCUUAUUGAAUAUUUUGCCUGAGAAAAUCACUGGAUAACUAGAAUUAUUAACCUAUCCAGAAAUAAGCCGUUGGAUUUGUGUAACAGAACCGAUUUCGCACCAAAAACCUGUACAUAUUGACUUUAGGUUUAGAUAUAUACCAUUCUAACACGACCAGCAAAUAACCUACAAACAUGUAGAGAAAAAUAUAUCUCGGGUUAAUCUGCAAUUAACCACUCGCGUGCAAUCACGUUAUCCGAUCCAGGUGCGUAUCACGGCCGUAAAAAGCAGUUACCAUUUUUUCUAGCAUUGUUGAUAUUAGCAUGUCGUGUUAGAAUCGAAAUAUUAAGUUCCCAAGUGUGAUUUAUCU